rnacentral:misc_RNA from 1 species
AAUAAAAAUAAAAAAAUGAAAUAAAAACUAUACAUAAUCUAUGUUAUAUCUAUAUGCAAGUGUAUAUAUUUACAUGGUGUAGGUGUAUGGCGUAUGUGAACUAAGUAACUAAGUAUAAAUGAAAUGCAAUUUAAGUAAUACAAAUAAAAAGGAUUAAAAAUUUUACAAAAAUUUUGCCCCAAACUCAAAUGAGACAUUGUCCUCAAUAACGAAAAUGAAUGCAAAGAUGGACAAACAGUGAAUAAACUAAUCAGCUCAUAUAGUAUGUACAAUUAGGAAUUAAAGCUAAAUAAGAAUAAUUAAUUCAAAAUUAAGCUCAAAAUAAUAUGAACAAUGUAGCUCAAAGAAAAUAUGUGCAAAAGUAUCCCAAUUAUAUCAAAUUAAAUAGAAUUGAGGUGAAAAAGGGAAAAGUGAAAUGAAAAAAUUUUAGAUUUUAGGUGAACAUGUGUGCUGAUUGAGUAACAUAAGGCAUGUUGAAGUAAAGGUAAAUUAGCAUGCCCUGUGCCAACUGCUAAGUAACUGAUAUGGGGAAUCAACAUGGGGCGUGUCAUGUUCCAUGAAAGUUUCGGUGAGUUUCAAAAAUUUUGAAAAUUUAAGGGAAUGCAAAUAGCUCAUUGGAGUGCAUAAUCUUUAGCAUGAGGCAUGUUAAAGGGAAGCAGUGUCAACAUGUGGCAGAUAAAUGUCGAGAAGUUACCUUAGAGGCAGAAUUGUCAAGGCUAAGAGAAGAGUAGCUGUUGUAUUGUCAAUAAUUCAGUUAUAUGACUAUUAAAAAGCAAUAUCAGUAAUGCUAUUACAAUAGCCAAUUGAAACUGAAAUUAAAGAAAAUGAUCAAUUAAAUAGGAAUCUGGAUAGCAAAGAUAGUGCAAGUAUCACAGCAAAAGAAACCAAGGCAGCCAGCAACAAUGAACAAGCCAACGUAAGAUUCAUGAAACAAACAAAAUUAAAAACAAAAAUUAAAUCAUUUACAAAUAGAUAAAACAUAUAAAAGUUCCAAAAACCAAGAAAUUAAUAGUUGAAAAAUAAAGCAAACUGACCAAUGUGCACAAUUAAAAGCUAAAGUUUCAGAAACUAACUGAAAUUAACAAAAACAAAAUUCUAAAACUAGACAACUGGUUGGUCUUCUUCAUUGGUGGAUGGCACUGGCUCAUUUGCUGUUGCAGGUGCUUGCUCAUUGGAUUUCUCAGAAGCAGUAUCCAGGUUUUCUACCAUAGCCUUCAUCUCUUUAAAAAUGUCUUGGCCCCUUUUGUAC